rnacentral:rRNA from 1 species
AGUGAACGCUGGCGGUAGGCCUAACACAUGCAAGUCGAACGGCAGCACAGUAAGAGCUUGCUCUUACGGGUGGCGAGUGGCGGACGGGUGAGGAAUACAUCGGAAUCUACUUUUUCGUGGGGGAUAACGUAGGGAAACUUACGCUAAUACCGCAUACGACCUACGGGUGAAAGCAGGGGAUCUUCGGACCUUGCGCGAUUGAAUGAGCCGAUGUCGGAUUAGCUAGUUGGCGGGGUAAAGGCCCACCAAGGCGACGAUCCGUAGCUGGUCUGAGAGGAUGAUCAGCCAUACUGGAACUGAGACACGGUCCAGACUCCUACGGGAGGCAGCAGUGGGGAAUAUUGGACAAUGGGCGCAAGCCUGAUCCAGCCAUACCGCGUGGGUGAAGAAGGCCUUCGGGUUGUAAAGCCCUUUUGUUGGGAAAGAAAAGCAGCAGGUUAAUACCCCGCUGUUCUGACGGUACCCAAAGAAUAAGCACCGGCGAACUUCGU